rnacentral:rRNA from 1 species
UUUUAACAAUAUGAGUUUGAUCCUGGCUCAGGAUGAACGCUAGUGAGAUGUCUUACACAUGCAAGUUAAACAAAAUUUAAAUUAAAAAAUUAAGUAACGAACGGGUGCGUAACACGUAAGAUCUUGCUUUUAGAAGGGGAAUAGCAAAUGGAAACGUUUAUUAAUACUUUAUAUACAUUAUAUUUUAUGUGAAAAGAAGCCUUUAUAUCUUCGUCUAGAAAAAGGCUUGCGGCUAAUUAGCUUGUUGUUAAGAUAAUUGCUUAUCAAGGCGAUAAUUAGUAUCUGGUUUGGGAGAAUGGUCAGACACAUUGAAACUGAGACACGGUUCAGACUCUUACGGGAGGCAGCAGUGAGGAAUCUUUCGCAAUGGGUAUACGCCUGACGGAGUAAUCUCGCGUGAAGGAUAUGAAAAUCUACGGAUUGUAAACUUCUUUUUUCAAGGAGGAAUUUUGACAUUUAAUUGAAGAAUAAGCAUCGGCUAAUUCCGUGCCAGCAGCCGCGGUAAUACGGGAGAUGUAAGUGUUAUCCGAAAUGAUUGGGCGUAAAGCGUUUGUAGGUUGUUUAAUAAGUCAAUUGUUAAAUAUUGAAGCUUAACUUCAAAGCCGCGAUUGAAACUAAUAAGCUAAGAGUAUGGUAAGGGUAAAGGGAAUUUUUAGAGAAGCGGUAAAAUGUGUAGAUAUUAGAAGGAAGAUCGGUGGCGAAGGCGUUUUACUGGGCUUUUAUACUGACAUUUAGAAACGAAAGCUAUGGUAGCAAAUGGGAUUAGAUACCCCAGUAGUCUUAGCUGUAAACGAUGGGUACUAUUUGCUGAAUAUUAUAUUAUAUGCAGUAUUGUAGCUAACGCAUUAAGUAUCCCGCCUGGGAAAUAUGCUCGCAAGAGUAAAACUCAAAGGAAUUGACGGGGGUCCACGCAAGCGGUGGAGCAUGUGGUUUAAUUCGAUGCAACACGAUGAACCUUACCAGAAUUUGACAUGAUAUGAAUUUUUUUGAAAGAAAAAAGUGCCUUUUGGAACAUAUACACAGGUGGUGCAUGGCUGUCGUCAGUUCGUGUCGUGAGAUGUCGGGUUAAGUCCUGUAACGAACGCAACCCUUGUUUUUAGUUGCCUAUUAAAGGAAAUCUAAAAAGACUGCUUAUUAUAAGUUUGAGGAAGGAGAGGAUGACGUCAAGUCAUCAUGCCCCUUAUAUUCUGGGCUACACACGUGCUACAAUGGGUAAGACAAUAAGAUGCAAUUUUGUGAGAAAAAGCUAAUCUCUAAACUUACUCUAAGUUCGGAUUGUAGACUGCAACUCGUCUACAUAAAGUUGGAAUCGCUAGUAAUCGCUAGUCAGCUAUACAGCGGUGAAUUCGUUUUUGGACCUUGUACACACCGCCCGUCACACCAUGGGAAUGUGUUUUAUUUGAAAUCUUUUUUAUUAAUAAUUUUAUAAUUUUUUAUCAUUCAUAAAAAUGCUUAGAAUAUAAUUUGUAACUGGGGUGAAGUCGUAACAAGGUAACUGUACUGGAAGGUGUGGUUGGAACCACUCUUUU